GGGGGUGAACAGGGUUCGACGGGAGUGGCAGAGGUAAUGACAGCAGUCCGGAGUUGGUCGAUGGCUCCGCAAAAAUCGACUGAAAAAUAAACAACAAAACUGUUGUUAAUGUACAGCCAACGCUAAAGACUUUUGGCUUUAGCCCUAUGACUGUAUUUUCAAUUGCUGCUUAACGCAGCUUCGUUUUACCUUAGACACAUGCUAUAGGGAUAAAACGACAAGAGCAUGUUAGUUUUAAGCGGCUUGUGCCGUCAGUUUAAAAUGAAAAUAAAACGGCACUGGUUUAUAACGUAGUACCGUCCGAUUACGGCGUUAUAAACGAGAUAAAUUUUCGGACUAAGCCUGUAG
rnacentral:tmRNA from 1 species